UUUUUUUUCUGUUUUUUCCCUUUUUU
rnacentral:sRNA from 1 species